rnacentral:rRNA from 1 species
GUGAGGAAUAUUGGUCAAUGGGCGGGAGCCUGAACCAGCCAAGUCGCGUGAAGGAAGAAGGAUCUAUGGUUCGUAAACUUCUUUUGCAGGGGAAUAAAGUGCAGGACGUGUCCUGUUUUGUAUGUACCCUGAGAAUAAGGAUCGGCUAACUCCGUGCCAGCAGCCGCGGUAAUACGGAGGAUCCGAGCGUUAUCCGGAUUUAUUGGGUUUAAAGGGUGCGUAGGUGGUUUGAUAAGUCAGCGGUGAAAGUUUGCAGCUUAACUGUAAAAAUGCCGUUGAAACUGUCGGACUUGAGUGUAAAUGAGGUAGGCGGAAUGUGUGGUGUAGCGGUGAAAUGCAUAGAUAUCACGCAGAACUCCGAUUGCGAAGGCAGCUUACUAAGCUACAACUGACACUGAAGCACGAAAGCGUGGGGAUCAAACAGGAUUAGAAACCCUGGUAGUCC